GACGAACGCUGGCGGCGUGCUUAACACAUGCAAGUCGAACGGAAAGGCCCUGCUUUUGUGGGGUGCUCGAGUGGCGAACGGGUGAGUAACACGUGAGUAACCUGCCCUUGACUUUGGGAUAACUUCAGGAAACUGGGGCUAAUACCGGCUAGGAGCUCCUGCUGCAUGGUGGGGGUUGGAAAGUUUCGGCGGUUGGGGAUGGACUCGCGGCUUAUCAGCUAGUUGGUAGGGUAGUGGACUACCAAGGCGAUGACGGGUAGCCGGUCUGAGAGGAUGACCAGCCACACUGGGACGGAGACACGGCGCAGACUCCUACGGGAGGCAGCAGGGGGGAAUAUUGGACAAUGGGCGAAAGCCUGAUCCAGCAAUGCCGCGUGAGUGAUGAAGGCCUUAGGGUUGUAAAGCUCUUUUACCCGGGAUGAUAAUGACAGUACCGGGAGAAUAAGCUACGGCUAACUCCGUG
rnacentral:rRNA from 1 species